GAAAUGCGAUAACUAAUGUGAAUUGCAGAUUACGUGAAUCAUCCAGUCUCUGAACGCAAAUUGCACCCUGACGUAUUCCGCAGGGUAUACCUGUUUGAGUGCUGUUAAAGAGGACCUUUGCUCUACAGCAUUCCUCCUGAUGGCUUGUCCAUUGAGCGCAUUACAGCACCCUGUGUGUCGUAAUGUGUUAGGUAAAGUACCACUCAUUUGCAUGGGUAGAUUCUAGUCAGGCAAAUGAAGUAUACUAAGUCAGUUUAUACUGAGCCAUUCAAGUAGGCCUCAAAUCAGGCAAGAUUACCCGCUGAACUUAA
rnacentral:misc_RNA from 1 species